GAUAGAGCUACCAGUCUCGCCUGUCUGAAUCCAGGCUUGCCAUGGACAAGAUGGCAUGUGAUCUCCCUGUAUGCAUAGAUAAAGCCAGAGCCCCCGCCUUUUAAGAUCUCACCCUCACACACCCAGACACGCUGCACUUGACGAUAUAAAGGUGUUGUCUUUGCUUUACACCUACAUGUCAGAGCACAUCUGAUUUUUCCUGAUUUGCUCCAGGUGAUGUGGAUGGGGGUUCAGGAAAUGAUCUAAAUCAGUCUAUCUUUAGAGACUUCUUUGAAAUGACAGGAUCUGCAUCAAAAUGUAGAGGAUCAUUUUCUAGUCUAAGCCUCGUUUCCUGAAUUUCCGUAGCUCUCACUCUACCAAGAAACUGGGACACAUUCAGAUGGUUCUGUUGAAAUCUAACUCCAACUACC
rnacentral:lncRNA from 1 species